UACGGAGGGAGCUAGCGUUGUUCGGAAUUACUGGGCGUAAAGCGCACGUAGGCGGCUUUUUAAGUCAGAGGUGAAAUCCCGGGGCUCAACCCCGGAACUGCCUUUGAAACUGGAGAGCUAGAAUCUUGGAGAGGCGAGUGGAAUUCCGAGUGUAGAGGUGAAAUUCGUAGAUAUUCGGAAGAACACCAGUGGCGAAGGCGGCUCACUGGCUCGGUACUGACGCUGAGGUGCGAAAGCGUGGGGAGCAAACAGG
rnacentral:rRNA from 1 species